rnacentral:rRNA from 1 species
GACGAACGCUGGCGGCGUGCUUAACACAUGCAAGUCGUACGGUAAGGCCCUUUUGGCGGUACACUCGUGGCGAAAGCGGGAGUAACACGCGAGUAACCUGCCCCCUACUUUGGGAUAACGCCAUGAAACUGGUGCUAUUACUCCAGAUGUGCUCCUGCUGCAUGGUGGGGGUUGGAAAGCUCCUGCGGUUGUGGAUGGACUCGCGGCCUAUCAGCUUGUUGGUGGGGUAGUGGCCUACCAAGGCGGCGACGGGUAGCCGGCCUGAGAGGGUGACCGGCCACAUUGGGACUGAGAUACGGCCCAGACUCCUACGGGAGGCAGCAGUGGGGAAUAUUGCACAAUGGGCGCAAGCCUGAUGCAGCGACGCCGCGUGCGGGAUGAAGGCCUUCGGGUUGUAAACCGCUUUCGGCAGGGACGAAGCUUUUUGUGACGGUACCUGGAGAAGAAGCACCGGCUAACUACGUG